GACGAACGCUGGCGGCGUGCUUAACACAUGCAAGUCGAACGGUGAACCCGCUUCGGUGGGGGAUCAGUGGCGAACGGGUGAGUAACACGUGGGCAACCUGCCCUCAGCUCUGGGAUAACUCCAAGAAAUUGGGGCUAAUACUGGAUAUGACCGCUGACCGCAUGGUCUGGUGGUGGAAAGAUUUAUCGGCUGGGGAUGGGCCCGCGGCCUAUCGGCUUGUUGGUGGGGUAGUGGCCUACCAAGGCGACGACGGGUAGCCGGCCUGAGAGGGUGACCGGCCACACUGGGACUGAGACACGGCCCAGACUCCUACGGGAGGCAGCAGUGGGGAAUAUUGCGCAAUGGGCGAAAGCCUGACGCAGCGACGCCGCGUGGGGGAUGACGGCCUUCGGGUUGUAAACCUCUUUCAGCAGGGACGAAGCGAAAGUGACGGUACCUGCAGAAGAAGCACCGGCCAACUACGUGCCAGCCGCCGCUGUAACAC
rnacentral:rRNA from 1 species